rnacentral:sRNA from 1 species
GGAGUCACGGAUCGGAUUCCUCAGCUACGAGGAGGCGCUGAGGAGAGUUACAGAUGUAGAGCUAAAACGACUGAAGGAUGCUUUCAAGAGGACCUGUGGACUCUCAUAUUACAUGGGCCAGCACUGCUUCAUCCGGGAAGUGCUUGGGGAUGGAGUGCCUCCAAAAGUUGCUGAGGUGAUUUACUGUUCUUUUGGUGGAACAUCCAAAGGGCUGCACUUCAAUAAUUUAAUAGUUGGACUUGUCCUCCUUACAAGAGGCAAAGAUGAAGAGAAAGCAAAAUGUAAGUACUUUUAUUAUCUCAAAAAUAAUUCAUCUAUGUACAGAAUAAUUUAUCUCAAAAUUCUGAUGACAGGUAGAGGAUUUGAAUUGACAUUUUCCCAAAGAAGAUAUACAAGUGGUAAAUAAACACCUAAAAAAUGUGCAACAUAA